UAGACAGUAAGGAGAGCCAAUCGCAAUAUAGGAAGGUGUGGCUAGACAGAAUACGGGUGCGGAAUAUAAUCAGGCUGCUGCCAGUGUAGGGGAUUUCCUGGGAAAUUCCCAAAGCCACCAAUAAUAAUAGGAGCAGAUCCCGAGGGCGGCGUGUGACGCGCAUGCGCAUUUCCAGACUGGUUUGUUUGGGGAUUUUGUUACACUUGGAGUCUCGCUGACAUGUGGAGCAUCCUGCUAAAGUGAUUUGUGAGCUACAACACCUAAUGUGUGGCUCCAUGUCUCUGUCCUGCAGAUGUGUUGUUUUUAUACAGACCACCAGGGGGCAGGGUGGAGACAUUCAGGCCCUAUUUAAAACGAUCUUCCUCUGAUCUGUCACUGAUGAUGUCAUGCUAGUGGGCUUCAUCUUGUCUUUGAGGGACACCAGGAUACGCAUUCUGUCAGCACCGAUGUGUUAGCACUAAAGGUCAUCGGAUGUCAAAGCUCUCUCUCAAAUUAUCAUCUCUGUCUGUGCAACAGCUGUGAGAAGCUGGUUUAAGACGUAACAGUGGAGACACUGCAUUUAUCAUAUAAGUCAUCGCUGUGUUUUGACUGGUGCAGUGGAAACAGACGCGGUUAAAUCAGCAACGUCAACAAACUAAUGGAAGAUUUUCCAUUAAACUUUCCAUCAUGGUCAAA